rnacentral:misc_RNA from 1 species
UCACUUUUGGUUCUUGUGUUGCCUACCCGUUUAGCGGUAUUCAUGUCCCUCUUAAGACCCGUUCCAUCCAGACCCCUUCUAGGGGCUGCUGGGGGAUUCGAAAGUGAUGCGUGUUUUGCGUUUAGCUGUGCGUCGUAACGGCUGGCGUGGCCUCAUGUGUCUAUUGUUCCCUUGGAUGCGGUGCAUGCGGCGAACGUGGGCUGACGUUUCUGCCCCGUUGAGUCCCUUCGAUUUAUCGGUUGCCUUGAAUGACACUUUGCCGUAGUGCUGGUCUUGCUUUACCAUUCGUGGUGGCAACACUCGCACUUCGAGCAGAGCCGUUGAUGG